rnacentral:rRNA from 1 species
UACGAAGGGGGCUAGCGUUGCUCGGAAUGACUGGGCGUAAAGGGCGCGUAGGCGGAUGGCACAGUCAGAUGUGAAAUUCCCGGGCUUAACCGUGGGGGCUGCAUUUGAUACGUGUUGUCUAGAGUGAGGAAGAGGGUCGUGGAAUUCCCAGUGUAGAGGUGAAAUUCGUAGAUAUUGGGAAGAACACCGGUGGCGAAGGCGGCGACCUGGUCCGAUACUGACGCUGAGGCGCGAAAGCGUGGGGAGCAAACAGG